rnacentral:ncRNA from 2 species
CAAUUCUUGUCGGAGUGCCUAGCGCAGACUUCCCAAAAGGAAAUUUGCCAGGCUGAGACCGUUAAUUCGGGAUCCGCGGAACCUGAUCGGGUUAGUACCCGCGAAGGGAACAAGAGUAACUUAUUU